rnacentral:rRNA from 1 species
UACGUAGGGGGCAAGCGUUGUCCGGAAUCAUUGGGCGUAAAGCGCGUGUAGGCGGUCCGGCAAGUCGGAUGUGAAAGUCCAGGGCUCAACCCUGGGAUGGCGGUCGAUACUGCCGGACUAGAGUCCGGAAGAGGCAAGUGGAAUUCCCGGUGUAGCGGUGAAAUGCGCAGAUAUCGGGAGGAACACCAGUGGCGAAGGCGGCUUCCUGGCCUGUUCUUGACGCUGAGGCGCGAAAGCUAGGGGAGCAAACGGG